GACGAACGCUGGCGGCGUGCUUAACACAUGCAAGUCGAACGGAAAGGCCCUGCUUUUGUGGGGUGCUCGAGUGGCGAAAGGGUGAGUAACAAGUGAGUAACCUGCCCUUGACUUUGGGAUAAAUUCAGGAAACUGGGGCUAAUACCGGAUAGGAGCUCCUGCUGCCAGGUGGGGGUUGGAAAGUUUCGGCGGGUGGGGAUGGACUCGCGGGUUAUCAGCUUGUUGGUGGGGUAGUGGCUUACCAAGGCGUUGACGGGUAGCCGGCCUGAGAGGGUGACCGGCCACAUUGGGACUGAGAUACGGCCCAGACUCCUACGGGAGGCAGCAGUGGGGAAUAUUGCACAAUGGGCGGAAGCCUGAUGCAGCAACGCCGCGUGCGGGAUGACGGCCUUCGGGUUGUAAACCGCUUUCGCCUGUGACGAAGCGUGAGUGACGGUAAUGGGUAAAGAAGCACCGGCUAACUACGUG
rnacentral:rRNA from 1 species